UUAGUUGGUUGAUUGAUUGGUUGGUUGGUUGGUUGGUUUGUUGGUUGGUUGAUUAAACACGUUUGAUAGGGUCACUUAGAACAAGGGGAAAAAGACCUCAAGAGACCUUGCAUCCCGUAUUAAACGCAUGACACGGAAACAUACAUUAAGUGAUUGAUUGGUUGGUUGGUUGGUUGGUUGGUUGGUUGGUUAAACACGUUGGUUAAACAUGUUGGUUUAACACGUUGGUUAAACACGUUGGCUGGUUAAACACGUUUGAUGGGCUCAAUUUAAACAAGCGAAAAAAAAACAUCUUGGAUCCCGUAUUUAACACAUGAAACGGAAACAUGCAUUGAUUUAUUGAUUGGUUGGUUGGUU
rnacentral:lncRNA from 1 species